CACGUAGGAGGCGAGCGUUGUCCGGAAUCAUUGGGCGUAAAGAGCGCGCAGGCGGCUUGGCAAGUCGGGUGUGAAAUCCCGGGGCUCAACCCCGUGACUGCAUCCGAUACUGUCAGGCUAGAGGUAGGUAGGGGAGAUCGGAAUUCCUGGUGUAGCGGUGAAAUGCGCAGAUAUCAGGAGGAACACCGGUGGCGAAGGCGGAUCUCUGGGCCUUACCUGACGCUCAGGCGCGAAAGCUAGGGGAGCAAACAGG
rnacentral:rRNA from 1 species